GACGAACGCUGGCGGCGUGCUUAACACAUGCAAGUCGAACGGAAAGGCCCUGCUUUUGUGGGGUGCUCGAGUGGCGAACGGGUGAGUAACACGUGAGUAACCUGCCCUUGACUUUGGGAUAACUUCAGGAAACUGGGGCUAAUACCGGAUAGGAGCUCCUGCUGCAUGGUGGGGGUUGGAAAGUUUCGGCGGUUGGGGAUGGACUCGCGGCUUAUCAGCUUGUUGGUGGGGUAGUGGCUUACCAAGGCUUUGACGGGUAGCCGGCCUGAGAGGGUGACCGGCCACAAUGGGACUGAGAUACGGCCCAGACUCCUACGGGAGGCAGCAGUGGGGAAUAUUGCACAAUGGGCGGAAGCCUGAUGCGGCAACGCCGCGUGCGGGAUGACGGCCUUCGGGUUGUAAACCGCUUUCGCCUGUGACGAAGCGUGAGUGACGGUAAUGGGUAAAGAAGCACCGGCUAACUACGUG
rnacentral:rRNA from 1 species